rnacentral:misc_RNA from 1 species
AGCAGCCGCGGUAAUUCCAGCUCCAAUAGCGUAUAUUAAAGUUGUUGCAGUUAAAAAGCUCGUAGUUGAAUUUCGGGAUCAAUAUGUUGGUCGUGCCUUGGUACGUACUGGCAUUAUCGAUUCCUACCUUCUGAAGAACCUUGAUGUCAUUAAUUUGGUGUCUUGGGGAAUCAGGACUGUUACUUUGAAAAAAUUAGAGUGUUUAAAGCAGGCUCGCGCUUGAAUACAUUAGCAUGGAAUAAUGAAAUAGGACGUUUGAUUCUAUUUUGUUGGUUUCUAGGAUCGACGUAAUGAUUAAUAGGGAUAGUUGGGGGCAUUAGUAUUCAAUUGUCAGAGGUGAAAUUCUUGGAUUUAUUGAAGACUAACUACUGCGAAAGCAUUUGCCAAGGAUGUUUUCAUUAAUCAAGAACGAAAGUUAGGGGAUCGAAGACGAUCAGAUACCGUCGUAGUCUUAACCAUAAACUAUGCCGACUAGGGAUCGGAUGAUGUUAAUUUUUUAAUGACUCAUUCGGCGCCUUAC